rnacentral:rRNA from 1 species
ACAGCUGAGCUUUGCUAGUUUACCCGCCGAAUUUAAGCAUAUAAUUAAGCGGGGGAAAAGAAACUAACUAGGAUUCCCAUAGUAGCGGCGAGCGAACAGGGAAAAGCUCAAUCUGGUAACUCACUUCUGUGAGGUUGUAGAUUUUCGAAGUGAUACCUGCAUAUGUGAUCGGUAAGUCCUUUGGAAAAAGGCUGCCAUGGAGGGUGAAAGUCCCGUUCCGUGCAACAUAUUGCAUUCGGGUCACUUUCGUAGAGUCGUGCUCUUUGUGAUUGGAGUACAAAUUGGGUGGUAAAUUUCAUCCAAAGCUAAAUAUUUGUGAGAGAUCGAUAGAAUACAAGUACUGUGAGGGAAAUGUGAAAAGAACUUUGGCAAGAGAGUUAAAAGUCCCUGAAAUUGUUAUGGUGGAAGCAAGUAAAUGUCAGUUGACCUGUCGUAGCACAGUUUUGUCAUAAUGUUUUUCCUACUGCAUGAGCUCUGGUUUCAUUGGUUCCAUGCGUGGUAAUCAAGUCUGCAGUUCUUUUGUGGCGUUGAUCUCAUUAUGACUUCUGAUAUGACGUUGCCCCGUCUUGAAACACGGACCAAGGAGUCUAACAUGCGUGCGAGUAGGCGGAUGAAAUCCGUAUGCGAAAUGAGAGUGAUGAGACAAAUUUGGCCGGGCUAUUUUAUGGCUUGAGUUCUAGCACACAUGUUAGGACCCGAAAGGUGGUGAACUAUGCCUGAGUAGGCUGAAGCCAGAGGAAACUCUGGUGGAGGGUCGUUGCGAUACUGACGUGCAAAUCGUUCGCAAAACUUUGGUAUAGGGGCGAAAGACUAAUCGAACCACCUAGUAGCUGGUUCCCCUCGAAGUUUCCCUCAGGAUAGCUGGCGAUAAUAUUGAGUUUUGUCGGGUAAAGCGAAUGAUUAGAGGCAUUGGGGGCUUGUAGCCCUCGACCUAUUCUCAAACUUUGAAUUGGCAAAUAAUAGGUUAUUUAAUUAAACUUGUUAGUUUAUCAUAUCGCCAAGUGGGCCCGUUUUGGUAAGCAGAACUGGCGAUGAGGGAUGCUCCUAACGCUAAGUUAAGGUGCCGAAUGUCACGCGUAUGAGAUACCAAGAAAGGUGUUGGCUCAUUUUAACAGCAGGACGGUGGUCAUGGAAGUUGAAAUCCGCUAAGGAGUGUGUAACAACUCACCUGCCGAAUGAGGUAGCCCUGAAAAUUGAUGGCGCUGCAGCGUGAGACUGAUACUUAGCCGUUACUUGAAAUGGUUUAGUAACGUGUAGGGGGGUGUUUGGUUUGCGGGGAUGGCUAUGGUGUGAACCAUACCGGAGCUUAUCAUAGUACAGAUCUUGGUGGUAGUAGCAAUUAAUCAAGUGAGAUCCUUGAUAACUGACGUGGGGGAGGGUUCCAUGCGAACUGCGUUUGAUCAUGGGUUAAGCGGUCCUAAGGGUAUAGCAGUGCUUUUGAUUGGGAAUAAUUUGGUUCUUACCCGAAAGGGCGACCGGUCAAUAUUCCGGUCUGUUUACUUUGAAUUGGUGGUAACACAACAGUACCCGAAGACGUGAGGGGUUACGCCGCGUAGCGUUAUCUUUGCUUUCUAACGAUUCGUCUUCCCUGGAAGCAGCUAAGCUGGAGAAGGGGUCGCAUAAUCGGCAUAGCAUCCCAUUUGUGGGGUGUGCGGAGUGUAAUUCGUCAUCCGUGAAAAUUCGGGGUCUGGUUUCUAAGUAAACGCCGUACCUAAUCCGCAUCAGGUCUCCAGGGUUCACAGCCUCUGGUUUAUGGGUGAAAGUAGUUAAGGGAAGUCGGCAAAUUAGGUCCGUAACUUUGGGAAAAGGACUGGCUCUGAGAACUGAGUGUGGAGUACCAGCUGUGGGGUCUUAUUAAUAGCGAUGGGCGGCGGUAUGCGUACUCGUCGGACUUUGUUGGUGAUGUUUCUUCUGCACUGGCUGCUCUGCACAAUUAACGGUCGGCUCAGAACUGGAGCGGCCAAGGGGAAUCUGACUGUUUAAUCAAAACAAAGCAAUGCGAUGGUUAGAGAUAAUGUUGACGCAUUGUGAUUUCUGCUCAGUGCUCUGAAUGUCAACGUGGUGAGAUUCACGCAAGCGCGGGUAAACAGCGGGAGUAACUAUGACUCUCUUAAGGUAGCCAAAUGCCUCGUCAUCUAAUUAGUGACGCGCAUGAAUGGAUUAACGAGAUUCCUACUGUCCCUAACUACUAUCUAGCGAAACCACAGCCAAGGGAACGGGCUUGGCACAAUCAGCGGGGAAAGAAGACCCUGUUGAGCUUGACUCUAGUCCGACUUUGUGAAAUGACUCAGGGGGUGCAGCAUAGGUGGGAGCGUAAGCGUCAGUGAGAUACCACCACUCUUGCUGUUAUUUUACUUAUUCCGUGGGGUUGAUAUUGCAAUAGCUAAUUUUGGCCUGUAAGACGAUUCGUCGAUUUUACUCGGGAGACAUAGUCAGGUGGGGAGUUUGGCUGGGGCGGCACAUCUGUUAAAUCAUACCACAGGUGUCCUAAGACGAGCUCAAUGAGAACAGAAAUCUCAUGUUGACUAAAAGGGGAAAAGCUCGUUUGAUUUAGAUUUUCAGUGCGAAUACAAACUGCGAAAGCAUGGCCUAUCGAUCCUUUAGGCUGAGAAAUUUUCAGUUAGAGGUGUCAGAAAAGUUACCACAGGGAUAACUGGCUUGUGGCAGCCAAGCGUUCAUAGCGACGUUGCUUUUUGAUCCUUCGAUGUCGGCUCUUCCUAUCAUUGAGACGCAGAAGUCUCAAAGUGUCGGAUUGUUCACCCGCCAAUAGGGAACGUGAGCUGGGUUUAAACCGUCGUGAGACAGGUUAGUUUUACCCUACUGAUAAGCGAUAUUGUGACAGUAAUCCAACUCAGUACGAGAGGAACAGUUGGGUCAGGUAUUUGGUCUGCGGCUAGUUGACAAGCUAGUGCUGCUAAGCUAAGCCUGCCGGAGGAUGACUGAACGCCUCUAAGUCAGAAACCGUACUGGUAUCGGUGUUGUUCACCGCUCUUGUUAAGAAAUGCUGCAAGAUAAAUAUAUUGAAACAGGCUUUGCUGAAACAUUGAAAACUGAAUAAGAGCGAUACAUCCACUGUAGACGACUGUGGUGCAUCCAGGUAUUGUAAGUUAGAGAGUAGGCUUGUCUUACGAUCUACUGAGAUAUAUCCUGUGUUGCAGAGUUGUGUUUU